rnacentral:misc_RNA from 1 species
GAUGAAGAACGCAGUGAAAUGCGAUAAUUAAUGUGAAUUGCAGAAUUCAGUGAAUCAUCGAGUCUUUGAACGCACAUUGCGCCCCCUGAUAUUCCGGGGGGCAUGCCUGUCCGAGCGUCAUUGCUGCCCUCAAGCACGGCUUGUGUGUUGGGCUUCCGUCCCUGGCAACGGGGACGGGCCCAAAAGGCAGUGGCGGCACCAUGUCUGGUCCUCGAGCGUAUGGGGCUUUGUCACCCGCUCCCGUAGGUCCAGCUGGCAGCUAGCCUCGCAACCAAUCUUUUUAACCAGGUUGACCUCGGAUCAGGUAGGGAUACCCGCUGAACUUAAGCAUAUCAAUAAGCGGAGGA